UACGUAGGGUGCAGGCGUUAAUCGGAAUUACUGGGCGUAAAGCGUGCGCAGGCGGUUUCUUAAGUCCGGUGUGAAAGUCACAGGCUCAACCUGUGAAUGCCGCUGGAAACUGUAUGGCUAGAGUCCGGAAGGGGCGAGUGGAAUUCCUGGUGUAGCGGUGAAAUGCGCAGAUAUCAGGAGGAACACCAAUGGCGAAGGCAGCUCGCUGGGACGGUACUGACGCUGAGGCGCGAAAGCGUGGGGAGCAAACAGG
rnacentral:rRNA from 1 species